AUCCACGUGACGAGUCUCAAAUAGGACGAAAUGCGCAUCCUGGAU
rnacentral:hammerhead_ribozyme from 1 species